rnacentral:rRNA from 1 species
CCUACGGGAGGCAGCAGUAGGGAAUCUUUCACAAUGGGCGAAAGCCUGCUGGAGCAACGCCGCGUGCGGGAUGAAGGCAUUCGGGUUGUAAACUGCUUUUAUAAGCGAGAAAUAUGAUGGUAACUUAUGAAUAAGGAUCGUCUAACUACGUGCCAGCAGCCGCGGUCAUACGUAGGAUCCGAGCAUUAUCCGGAGUGACUGGGUGUAAAGAGUUGCGUAGGUGGCAUAAUAAGUAGCUAGUGAAAUCUGGUGGCUCAACCAUUCAGACUAUUAGCUAAACUGGUAAGCUAGAGACCGUUAGGGGUAACUGGAAUUUGUAGUGUAGGAGUGAAAUCCGUAGAUAUUAGAAGGAACGCCGAUAGCGUAGGCAGGUUACUGGGACGGUUCUGACACUAAGGCACGAAAGCGUAGGGAGCAAACGGGAUUAGAUACCCUAGUAGUC